GGCGGCCAAGAUUGGCAUUCAAAUCGAAGUUUCAAGAAAACGUGAUUUUCGGACCUGUCAAGGAAAUUUCAGAAUUUUUGGAAUCCUUUCCGUCAAGAAAACUCGAACUCGGGAAGGCACGCGUCAACCAAGUAAGUAGCCAUUUGGAUUCCCACGAGCAGUACAUGUAGGAACCACUAGGAACGAGCAUGCAUACUACCACCCAUAAACUUAACUAGCCAGACCUAGCAUAUUAGUAUAGAAACUGCGAAAAUGAAAUGAUUAAGGAAAGCAAGAUAUGAAAUGUUUAUUAAAUCUGUUUUGAUUGAGAUUCUGAUAAAGUAUGCAUGCAUGAGGAGGAUGAGAAACUUGUGAAAUCUACUCUCCGGGUGAAGAUGGACGUUAUCUUCCCGUUGAGCAUGUUUGCUAAUAUUGCAUGAACUGUUGCGCG